GGCCGGGAGGAGCCCAGGGGCGGGGAGGCGUCCAUGUCCUCUGGGGGGUGGGGGGGGUCAGAGGAGACCCUGGGGUCAGAGAAGACCCUGGGGAGGCCCGCUGGAAUCACCUCCAGAAGAAGAGGCCUCCCCCAGGGCCUUCAGUGACCGACCUCAGGACCUCCGCGUGUCCUGGCCUUGGCUGAGGCCCGGCUUCCGCGCACUCGAAGACCAAGCUGCAUUUCUAGUCCCCAAGUCCCUGAAGAGAUGUGAGGAGAACUGGUGCCGGCCUCCUGGGGAGUCAGACCGGGCUGCUGAGGGCUGGGCUCCCGGAAUAAACCACCCACACUGCGUACUCCUCAGCCAAGCUCCGUCAGCUGCUUGACGCAAAGGCGGUGCGCACGCACUGAGAGAAAACCAGAGAAUAGAAAAGCUGCGGAGCUGGAGGAAGAAGACUGCCAGGCGGUGCCAGCAGCACUUGGCUGAACAUCCUUCCAAAGCUCUUCUGGGAUUCGGGGUUGAGACGACAGCAAGGAGGGGUUACAUGAGGUCGUUUUGAAGGAAAAUCAACCCCUGCACCAGGGAACCGCUGGCAGCAGGAAGCGCCAGGCUGGCUCUUGCUCAGGCUUCCUCCGGGCCCCCUGCAGGCUCUUGCCAGCGGUGACUUUUCUCCUUAAAGUCUUACGGACUCAGCCCACAAAACUCUCAACAUUGCAGGCAGCUACAAAUGUGAACAGCCACCUGCCACACCUCAGGAUGGAGGCCGACAGGGUCCACGGAGGAGCUGCCCCGGAGACCACCUAGAGGGUGCCCGUAUCUCUGGUCCGAACACCCCCGAGCUUCCUUCAAGGGCUUCCAAGAAGGCGACAAGGAGAAGGUGGGUUCCCCACCCUCUCAGCAGCCAUCCCUGCCGAUGAGCAAGCUGGCAGCACGGGAACCGGACACUGGGAGACCAAAGUCGCAAGGGAGUGACUGAGGGGGACCCUGCUGGCCUGACAAUGCCCAGAGCAGCUCAGUGCAGCCGCCCGGUCGAGGGCUGGCUCCCUGGUGCUAGAGUCACACCGGCCUCGUUUCUCAAAACGCUCGCUCCACCUCGGAGUUCGGCCACCUCUCCCCCGCCUGCCCCCCGAGGUCGCCGGCCGCCUUCCCGGACCCCUGCCUGCAUCGCGCCCCCCCCCCCCCCCCCNGUCCCAGUGCCCGGGUGCUGGGCGGGGUACCUUAGCCUUUUCCUGCAGCGCCCGCGGCGCAGGGAGGUGGGACUGACCUCGGGCUGGAGCUGAGCAAGCAGCGUCAUCAGAGAGAAGGUCGCCAAGGGCCCGCUCUCGGUCCCCCGAGGAGCGGGGCCCGUGGGCGGCAGGGUGGAGUGAGGGAGCAGCUUGUGUAAAGAAAUCAUUGAGAAAUUUCUAGCGUAACUGGAGGGAAUUAUAAACGACAUCGACUUGGAGCAUAAACUUGCUGCCUAGUUACGAGCCACAGCAAAGGUCUCCAGGACGCGUCUUACAGAACAAACAGAAGACAAGGGCGGGAGCUUCCCGAGCGCAGGGAGGGGCGCUCUGGAUGCCCAGGGGGUGGCCCUUCUUCAUUCUAACGCCACACGGGCCCUGCUUUCACCUGGGCCAACCUGAGGGGUCCUGGGCAACUGGGGGUCCUGACCUGGGGUCGAGGCUAGUUAAAGCACCUGGCAUGCUGACUUGGUUGUGACCUUCUGCUCGUCACACGAGUGAAAUGCAGAUUCCUGAAGUCUGUGUGGCACAGAGCCCCUGACCCUGGUGGAUCUCCUCUGGGAGCCACUGGGGCUCUGCCUCUGGGCCCUGAGCCUCGGGAACAAGCCCCACCCGGCCCCCAGCAGCACCUGGUCCUUCGCCACCACCUCCAGGGCAUGAGUGAGCUCCGGCCAGAGGGCCUCCCUCUGCACAGGAGUAUGUGCGGAGCCUGCUUGCCUGAGGAAGGGCGGUUGCAGGUGUUGGGGUGCAGCAGGUUUGGGGGGCCAGGCUCUGGUAAGAGUUCAGCCUCCCCUCGGACUGGGAAAAUGCCGAGGACAGUGCCAGCAGCGCUUUCCACGAGGUGGUGGCUGAAUCCAGGACUGGACCUGGAGACAGCUGACCCAGGGGUCCGGGCCCCUCUCUGGGCAGGGCAAUCCCAGGCACACCCUUAAUAGCCAGAAACACCCCCAGAUGUUGGCGAAUGCCCGGGAGUAAACGCCUGCCAGGGCAGCCGCUCCAGCCCCAUGAGGGGGCUGGUCUUUUCUCAAGGGCUGCUUCCUUCCAGCCAGAGUGGAAAUUGAAUCAGGACCAGCUGAAAAACUUGCAGAACCCAGUGGCAAAUCAAAACACGGGGCUCCUGGUUCGAAUAUGAUGUGAUGCCAGGUGUUGGGCCAGACGCGGGCCUGCUGGCCUUGGCCGCCUGCCCAUGAAGCUGGUUGGCGCUGAAUCAAAUACAAUGCCCCCGAAACAGUGAAUCACCAACAAGCUGCAGAAAUCUCUCAUAGCAAUGAUUUCAAUAGACUCUUUUAAACUUGGUGGCCCACGGGUGGCUGGUGUAGGGACCCCAGUCUGAGCUCUGCCCUGUGCCGAGUAGCUUCGCCUUUCCCAAAGCCUGGCCUCCACAGGACGAGAGGGGCCCAAGGCAGCGGCGUGGCAGCAGGAUGGGCCUCUCCUGGAAGCAGGUACCUUUUUAGGUGGUGUGUUCCUUGAAGGCAAGAAUGAUGUUUCACAAUAUACACCCAGUGCCUAUCACAGCUUCUUCUACUGUGGUUAAAACAAAAAAAAAAAAGAGCGUUACCAUAAACCCUCCGGCCAUUUCUAAGCUGCUUCAGGAAUGUAAAUAACAUUCACCUUGUUACUGAAUCAUCUCCAGAUCUUUGCAACCUCACAAAACUGCAACUGUCCCGUUAAACAACCCCUGCCACCACCUAGCCCUCAGGCCCCAGCAAACACCCUGCGAAAGAAUCUAUGCCACUUACUAAUCCAGGUGCCUCAUAAGAGUGGAAUGACACAGUCCUUGGGGUUUUUUGUAAAUGUACAUUUUUGGGUAACUUUUACUUCGCUUGAUGGCCUCAAAAUCUCUCCACGUUGCAGCACAUCGCAGAAAUCCCCCCUUUUUAUUUGUCGUGGUCACUCCUAUUAUCUUUCUUCUAGUUUAUUGACAUACAGUGUUCGGUAGGCUUAAGGCGUGUGGCACAAGGAGGUGACCCGCCCGCCUCAUGAAAUGACCGUCACGGUAAGUUUACUGGCCACCCGCGUGUCACACAGCUUCAAAGCCAAAGAGAAAGACCUUUGUGCCUGUGAUGAGAACUCUUUGGCGCCUCCGGCCGUGCUACUUCUAUCAGUGCCUGUGUGGUACGUCCUGUCACGAGCACUUACCCGUCUUAGAACUGGAAGUUUGUACCUUCAGAUGAACCGCACCCAACCCUCUCUCCCCUCACCCCUGGGGACCCACAAAUCCAAUCUCUUUUUUAGGCGUUCGUUCGUUUGCUUUUGAAGCCCUUCCUUGCUCCACCUCCAGAAUGAGUCCACUGCACAUACGCGCCGCCUUUUGCUUAUCCAUCCACUUGUCUCCGGACCCUGGAGGCGCUGCCAUGGUUCAGCCGUCACGUUGCUCUGAACAUGGGUGUACAACCAGUAGCUUUGUAAGAGCCUGCUUUCAUUUCUUAGGGCAUCAGAGCCAGCCGUGGGCUUGCCGCAUCGUAUGAUAAUCCUGCUUUAACGUUUCAGGACGCCGCCACCCCAUUUUCCACAGCAUCCGCACCGUCUUUCAGCCCACCUACAGCGCACAGUCCGCCUCUCCAGCUCCUCAACGUUCUCACCAACACGUGCUGUUUUCUGCUGUUUUUAUAUUAACUAUCCUAAUAAGUGCGAGGUGAUCUUAUGGUGGAUUUGAUUUGCAUUUUCCUCAUGAUUAGUGAUAUUGAGCAUCUGGUUUUUUUGUUUGGUUUUGGUUUUUUUUGUUUGGUUUUAUUUUGCUUUUUAGGGCCACAGCCACGGCAUAUGGAGGUUCCUAGGCUAGGGGUCCAAUCGGAGCUGCAGCUGCAGGCCACAGCCACAGCCACAGCCACAGAACAUCGGAUCUGCCACCUACACCACAGCUCAUGGCCACGCUGGAUCCUUAACCCACUGAGUGAGGCCAGGGAUCGAACCCCCAACCUCCUGGUUCUUAGUCGGAUUCAUUUCUGCUGCACCACGAUGGGAACUGUGCUAUUGAGCAUCUGUUCAUGUGUCUGUUGGCCAUUCGUAUAUCUUCGUUGGAGAGAUGUUUAUUCAGGUCCUUUGC
rnacentral:lncRNA from 1 species